rnacentral:rRNA from 1 species
GGAAUAUUGCGCAAUGGGGGAAACCCUGACGCAGCAACGCCGCGUGAGUGAGGAAGGUCUUCGGAUUGUAAAACUCUGUUAUUUGGGAAAAAUGACCUUGUGGCUAAUAUCCACGAGGAGGGCUGGUACCAAGGGAAUAAGCACCGGCGAACUUCGUGCCAGCAGCCGCUGUAAUACGAAGGGUGCAAGCGUUGUUCGGAAUCAUUGGGCGUAAAGCGCGCGCAGUCGGAUUGAUAAGUCAGGUGUGAAAUCUCGAAGCUCAACUUCGAAACUGCGCCUGAAACUAUUAGUCUAGAAUGUCGGAGGGGGCAGGGGAAUUUCACGUGUAGGGGUAAAAUCCGUAGAGAUGUGAAGGAACACCGGAGGCGAAGGCGCCUGCCUGGACGACUAUUGACGCUGAGGCGCGAAAGCGUGGGGAGCAAAC